rnacentral:lncRNA from 1 species
UUGGAGCAGAGUGCCACGCAAUGGCGGGCACCAGCUUGGUAGCCCGGGAGGUGGUGGUGGAUACGCUACCUUACUUUGACCAAGGAUAUGAGAUGCCUGGCGUGCGGGAAGCGACUGCGGCCCUGUUGGAGGAGGAACCACAGAUGCGUACCUACCACGAAGUACCUGAGCAACCUGAUAGGCUCAGAUUAUUCUGCCUUUGAAACAGACAGAAUGAGAAGUGAAUUUGAAAGACUGGCUGCUCGACAAUCGACUGAAUUACUCAGCAUGAAACAAUAUGAACUGCCAGUCCCUUCCUCGGGUCAAAAAAAUGACAUUACUGUGUAAACAAUUCUAUGGCCCAGUUGGAGCAUCAGGCAGGUCAGAUUGAGAAUCUGGAGCUGAUGUCACGGCAUAGAUGUAAUGCCUGGAAAGUAGAGAACGAACAUCUUGUUCAUAUGAUUGAACAUGCACAGAAAGAGUUUCAGAAGUUAAGAAAACAUAUUCAGGAUUUACAACGGCAGCGCAAGAACAUGCGGCUUACAGCUGGGGCUAAGUUGAGAGAGAAUGGAGUCAAAUUGGGUGUCGCUGGUGAGUAAGAACUAGGAGAUGGAGUGGACUAUUGUACAUCUGGAGAAUGAAAUCUAUCAAAUUAAGCAGCAGCACGG